UCCACACGGACCCUGCCGGCUUCCCGCGCGCAGCACGCCCCGCCCCCCCUGCCUCACUUCCGCCAACGGGGCUCCAACUCGGCCGCCUGCCUCUGCCUCUAACCCCGCCCGCCAGCGGCUCCCGCGCGACUCCUGACUCCGCCCCCCAACCGCGUGAUUGGCACUUUAUCGGAGGUCCUUCAGUGUCGUCGAAGACCCAGAGUGAGUGAAGGACCCGCCUUCAAAGACUAGGAGUGCCGCCCAGUAUACCCAGCUGCUUUCAUUAUCCCUUCACAGCUAUGGCCAGCUGCAUUUCUUGACCUUCAAAAUGUUUGACAAGAUGUAUAUUUCUCCUUGAACACUGUAAACAGCUGGAUUGCUUAUCUGACAAGCAUUAACAGCCACACUGCCUCACAGGUUUAUUAUUCAAAGAAAAAAUACAGCUGACAACAGACAAUAUCAGAGCAUGAUGAAGAAAACCCCAGGCAUAGGAAGAAGAAAAUAUAAAGUGCUUUAUAAAUAACAAACUGGACAAUAAUACAUUAUUCUACCCUAUAUGGACAAUUAAGUAUGCAAUAAACUAUAAAAUUAGCGGGGCCUGGUCCAACUGUUGUUUAAAUUGCAUAUUAUUAAGCAAAAUGAGUUCUUGUACCUGUGGUUUUAAAUCUUUCUUACUGAAAUAUGGCUGAAUUUACUUACUAUGUAAAAGCAAUGUCUCAUUACUCUAUGCUUCUUUGUUAAUUAAUAUACUAGCAUGAUAUCAGGAAUGUGCAUAAGAUUCAAGGGCUGGGCAAAAGACAAUUCCACAGUCUGGUAUCUUUCAAAAUAGGAGAUUCCAAAAUCUAGAUGGAAUUAUUGAUUAAAUUUCAAAAUUAUUUAAAUCUGGAAGAAGGGUAUUAUGAAAAAUAUAUUUAUGUAUACUGAUACACAUUAAUUAUUUUGACCACCAGACAGCAGAAACUGUCUCUAAACCUAUAAUUCAUGGUAUUAGUCUGACGGAGGUUGUCAGUGUUGCCUGUAGCUUCUAAUAAAUUCAAAUUAUAUUAUCCUGCUGCUUUAAAUUGAGGAUACUGUAGUUUUUAUUAAACAUAAUUACGGUCUUCUGUUUGCAUGGCAAAUGUGUAACUACUAAGGAUG